GUGCCAGCCGCCGCGGUAAUACGUAGGGUGCGAGCGUUAAUCGGAAUUACUGGGCGUAAAGCGUGCGCAGGCGGUUGGGUAAGACAGAUGUGAAAUCCCCGGGCUUAACCUGGGAACUGCAUUUGUGACUGUCCGACUGGAGUAUGUCAGAGGGGGGUGGAAUUCCAAGUGUAGCAGUGAAAUGCGUAGAUAUUUGGAAGAACACCGAUGGCGAAGGCAGCCCCCUGGGGCAAAACUGACGCUCAUGCACGAAAGCGUGGGGAGCAAACAGGAUUAGAUACCCUAGUAGUCC
rnacentral:rRNA from 1 species